rnacentral:tRNA from 1 species
UCCCUGCUGGCUCAGAUGGUAAAGAAUCUGCCUGAAACACAGGAGACCUGGGUUUGAUCCCUGGGUUGGGAA